rnacentral:rRNA from 1 species
CCUACGGGCGGCAGCAGUGGGGAAUAUUGGGCAAUGGAGGAAACUCUGACCCAGCAAUGCCGCGUGAAUGAAGAAGGUCUUCGGAUUGUAAAGUUCUUUAGUCAGGGAAGAAGAAAAUGACGGUACCUGAAGAAUAAGCGCCGGCUAACGACGGGCCAGCAGCCGCGGUAAUACGUAGGGAGCAAGCGUUGUUCGGAAUGACUGGGCGUAAAGGGUGCGUAGGCGUUUAUCCAAGUUAGAAGUGAAAUACCCAGGGCGUAACGCGGGUGCGGCUUCUCAAACUGUCAGACUUGAGUGCAGUAGAGGUUAGUGGAUUUCCUCGUGUAGCGGUG